UCUUUUUCCCGCAUAAGUCAUACUGCGAUUUAAUUUUAAACAUCGCAGAAUUAUAUUCAGUUACAUUUUUGAAGUCUUAGAACCUCAAAUAGGUCCAUUCAUUACGAGUUUGUGGGAGUAUGACCAUCUUCAGGUGGUCAUAUCUUUCCUUUAGAUUGUUCCACAAUUUAAGGGGAUCUUUGAUCAUGAGGUACUCCAUUUUUAACCCUUCGUCAAGAUGAUGA
rnacentral:lncRNA from 1 species